CUACACACACGCUACAAUGGCCAACACAAUAGGUUGCUAAGCCGCGAGGUGGAGGCCAAUCCUCAAAGUUGGUACUCAGUUCAGAUUGCAGGCUGCAACCCGCCUGCAUGAAGAUGGAGUUGCUAGUAACCGCAGGUCAGCUAUACUGCGGUGAAUACGUUCCCGGGGCUU
rnacentral:rRNA from 1 species